UACGGAGGGUGCAAGCGUUAUCCGGAUUUACUGGGCUUAAAGGGUGUGUAGGCGGGCUUUUAAGUCAGUGGUGAAAUCUCCGGGCUCAACCCGGAAACUGCCAUUGAUACUAUUAGUCUUGAAUUUUGUUGAGGUAGGCGGAAUAAGUCAUGUAGCGGUGAAAUGCAUAGAUAUGACUUAGAACACCAAUUGCGAAGGCAGCUGGCUACACAUAUAUUGACACUGAGGCACGAAAGCGUGGGGAUCAAACAGG
rnacentral:rRNA from 1 species